UACGUAGGCAGCGAGCGUUGUUCGGAAUUACUGGGCGUAAAGAGUGUGUAGGCGGUGCUCUAAGUUUGGUGUGAAAUCUCCCGACUUAACCGGGAGGGUGCGCCGAAAACUGGGAGACUAGAGUGCGGGAUGGGAGAGUAGAAUUCCUGGUGUAGCGGUGAAAUGCGUAGAUAUCAGGAGGAAUACCGGUGGUGCAGACGGCUCUCUGGACCGCAACUGACGCUGAGACACGAAAGCGUGGGUAGCAAACAGG
rnacentral:rRNA from 1 species